CACGGGGGGGAGCAAGCGUUGUUCGGAAUCACUGGGCGUAAAGGGCGUGUAGGCGGUCAGGUAAGUGGGAUGUGAAAAUCCCCUCGGCUUUACCCCGAGGACCUGCAUCCCCAAAACGGCUUGGCUUGAGUAUGGGAGAGGAUGAGGGAAUUCCUGGUGUAGCGGUGAAAUGCGUAGAUAUCAGGAGGAACACCGGUGGCGAAAGCGCUCAUCUGGCCCCAAUACUGACGCUGAGGCGCGAAAGCUAGGGAGCAAAACGGG
rnacentral:rRNA from 1 species